CUUGCUUCUAUGCGUUACGGCGGACGGGUGAGUACACGUGGGCACCUGCCUGUAAGACUGGGAUAACUUCGGGAAACCGAAGCUAAUACCGGAUAGGAUCUUCUCCUUCAUGGGAGAUGAUUGAAAGAUGGUUUCGGCUAUCACUUACAGAUGGGCCCGCGGUGCAUUAGCUAGUUGGUGAGGUAACGGCUCACCAAGGCAACGAUGCAUAGCCGACCUGAGAGGGUGAUCGGCCACACUGGGACUGAGACACGGCCCAGACUCCUACGGGAGGCAGCAGUAGGGAAUCUUCCGCAAUGGACGAAAGUCUGACGGAGCAACGCCGCGUGAGUGAUGAAGGCUUUCGGGUCGUAAAACUCUGUUGUUAGGGAAGAACAAGUACGAGAGUAACUGCUNGUACCUUGACGGUACCUAACCAGAAAGCCACGGCUAACUACGUGCCAGCAGCCGCGGUAAUACGUANGUGGCAAGCGUUUCCGAAC
rnacentral:rRNA from 1 species